rnacentral:rRNA from 1 species
AGUUUGAUCCUGGCUCAGAUUGAACGCUGGCGGCAGGCCUAACACAUGCAAGUCGAGCGGUAGCACAGGGGAGCUUGCUCCCUGGGUGACGAGCGGCGGACGGGUGAGUAAUGUCUGGGAAACUGCCUGAUGGAGGGGGAUAACUACUGGAAACGGUAGCUAAUACCGCAUAACGUCUACGGACCAAAGUGGGGGACCUUCGGGCCUCACGCCAUCAGAUGUGCCCAGAUGGGAUUAGCUAGUAGGUGGGGUAAUGGCUCACCUAGGCGACGAUCCCUAGCUGGUCUGAGAGGAUGACCAGCCACACUGGAACUGAGACACGGUCCAGACUCCUACGGGAGGCAGCAGUGGGGAAUAUUGCACAAUGGGCGCAAGCCUGAUGCAGCCAUGCCGCGUGUGUGAAGAAGGCCUUAGGGUUGUAAAGCACUUUCAGCGAGGAGGAAGGGUACGAGUGUUAAUAGCACAGUGCAUUGACGUUACUCGCAGAAGAAGCACCGGCUAACUCCGUGCCAGCAGCCGCGGUAAUACGGAGGGUGCAAGCGUUAAUCGGAAUUACUGGGCGUAAAGCGCACGCAGGCGGUUUGUUAAGUCAGAUGUGAAAUCCCCGCGCUUAACGUGGGAACUGCAUUUGAAACUGGCAAGCUAGAGUCUUGUAGAGGGGGGUAGAAUUCCAGGUGUAGCGGUGAAAUGCGUAGAGAUCUGGAGGAAUACCGGUGGCGAAGGCGGCCCCCUGGACAAAGACUGACGCUCAGGUGCGAAAGCGUGGGGAGCAAACAGGAUUAGAUACCCUGGUAGUCCACGCUGUAAACGAUGUCGAUUUGGAGGUUGUGCCCUUGAGGCGUGGCUUCCGGAGCUAACGCGUUAAAUCGACCGCCUGGGGAGUACGGCCGCAAGGUUAAAACUCAAAUGAAUUGACGGGGGCCCGCACAAGCGGUGGAGCAUGUGGUUUAAUUCGAUGCAACGCGAAGAACCUUACCUACUCUUGACAUCCAGAGAAUUCGCUAGAGAUAGCUUAGUGCCUUCGGGAACUCUGAGACAGGUGCUGCAUGGCUGUCGUCAGCUCGUGUUGUGAAAUGUUGGGUUAAGUCCCGCAACGAGCGCAACCCUUAUCCUUUGUUGCCAGCGAUUCGGUCGGGAACUCAAAGGAGACUGCCGGUGAUAAACCGGAGGAAGGUGGGGAUGACGUCAAGUCAUCAUGGCCCUUACGAGUAGGGCUACACACGUGCUACAAUGGCGUAUACAAAGAGAAGCGAACUCGCGAGAGCAAGCGGACCUCAUAAAGUACGUCGUAGUCCGGAUUGGAGUCUGCAACUCGACUCCAUGAAGUCGGAAUCGCUAGUAAUCGUAGAUCAGAAUGCUACGGUGAAUACGUUCCCGGGCCUUGUACACACCGCCCGUCACACCAUGGGAGUGGGUUGCAAAAGAAGUAGGUAGCUUAACCUUCGGGAGGGCGCUUACCACUUUGUGAUUCAUGACUGGGGUGAAGUCGUAACAAGGUAACCGUAGGGGAACCUGCGGCUGGAUCACCUCC